UUGUGAUAAGCUGAUUUCUGGAACCGCUACAGUACUUGGGGUACAGGGAAAUCCGAAGCGCUGUUAGUUAAGUUUCAGGAUUUUGACUUAUGAGGAAGGAAUGGCGAUAUUGUUCAGGAACUGUAAUCUCCAUCACCAUCGUCUGAAGUUUAGGACAGUUGUUUCCCAGCAACGUGGGGAUAUUUCAGGCGGCUUACUGACACAGAAAUGCUGGAAGAGCGAUCUGGUGGUUCCGACGUCUAUACAAUCGAUUAUACAGCGGGAAUUAUAACCAAUACAAGCCUUCCAAGAACUGUUUGUCCCAGGGUGCUCUGCCGGGUUGCGCAUAUUUUGUCGCCUUGUGGUGUCUGUUGAAACUGUCGAUGUGUGUGGGAGGCUGGGAGAGUUGAAGUGUCCGGUUGAGUGCGGCCAGAGAGCGGAUUAGUAGCUGUUGUUGCUGCUGCUGCUGCGGGUGGCGGUUGGGCAGGUGAAGGCAGCGCGCGAGGAGCCGAACCCUCACGCACCUGGACAAGUGCGAGGGUUGAUUGUCCGCAGGAGACAGUUGUAUGUGUGGAAAUGGUGAGUCUGCGCCAAGCACCCUGACUCAGCAUCUAACCAAGGUGUAGUGGGUUCUCCUGCUCACUGGUGAGAUGCAGCAAGGAUUUUGGGAAGAGAUGAAUGCAGAUCCUAUUCUUGAAGAGACCUUAAUUAAAAGAUCACAACAGAAGAAACGGACUUCUCCACUCAACUACAAAGAAAGAUUGUUUGUUUUAACAAAAUCAAGAUUAACGUACUAUGACGGUCGUCCUGAGAAAAAGUACAAAAAGGGCUCCAUUGAUAUACAAAGGAUCAAGUGUGCAGAAAUAGUGAAACAUGACACUGGCCCCAUUCCUUGCCAGAACAAGUAUCCUUUUCAG